AAGCCACGAGGUACUCCAAUAUGGAAGAUAACUCUAUCAGCACUUGGCUUCAAUAACAAAGAGUUUGAUCCUUUCAUGGCAGCAAUGAAGCGCAUUCGAAAGGAGGGUAAGCGAGGUCAUUCAAGAACCCAUGAAGGAAGUAAGAAGAAGGUAAGGAAGGAUAAUAUCAUCCCAUUCCUUGGUGCACUAAAAGGUAAGGG
rnacentral:lncRNA from 1 species